UAUUUUAAAGAGAGUUUGAUCCUGGCUCAGGACGAACGCUGGCGGCGUGCCUAAUACAUGCAAGUCGAACGAACGGAGGAAGAGCUUGCUCUUCCAAAGUUAGUGGCGGACGGGUGAGUAACACGUGGGCAACCUGCCUGUAAGUUGGGGAUAACUCCGGGAAACCG
rnacentral:rRNA from 1 species